GGUCUCAAACUCCAGGGCUCAAGCAAUCCACCCUCCAUGGCCUCCCAAAGUGCUGGAAUUACAGGUGUGGACCAUUGCACUGGCCUGCAUUUCUUUCUUAAGCUAACAUCUUCUGGUCAAACAACUCUCCUUUUCAAAGGGACCAGGCACAGUUUCUGCUUACCCCUGAGUAGCCGUUUUCAGUUCCCUGGCAGUCUGUGGAGUUUUUCAAACAAGCCAAUCACCUCCUCCUGUGGGAACUGAGAAGCACCCCACCCUCUCGAUACUACAAAGCCCCUGCUUGUUCCCUAGUGCAACUCCCGGGUGGUCCUGCGGAGCAUAUGGUACCUUCCUUUCCUGGGCAGUGAGCAUAUGUGACUAAUAAACUGUCUAUCUCA